rnacentral:tRNA from 1 species
GGCGGAUUGGAGCAGCUGGCAGCUCGUCUGGCUCAUAACCAGAAGGUCAAAGGUUCGAAUCCUUUAUCCGCAA